CCCUUAGAUGUUCUGGGCCGCACGCGCGCUACACUGACGAUGGCAACGAGUUUUUCCUUCGCCGAAAGGUGUGGGUAAUCUUUUGAAACAUCGUCGUGCUGGGGAUAGAUCAUUGCAAUUUUUGAUCUUGAACGAGGAAUUCCUAGUAAGCGCGAGUCAUCAGCUCGCGUUGAUUACGUCCCUGCCCUUUGUACACACCGCCCGUCGCUACUACCGAUUGAAUGGUUUAGUGAGGACUCCUUAUUGGCGCCGCCGCCCCGGCAACGGAGCAGCGGACUGCCGAAAAGUUGUUCAAACUUGAUCAUUUAGAGGAAGUAAAAGUCGUAACA
rnacentral:rRNA from 1 species